UCCUCACCGUUUAUCAUUCCA
rnacentral:piRNA from 1 species